rnacentral:rRNA from 1 species
UACAGAGGGGGCAAGCGUUAUUCGGAAUUAUUGGGCGUAAAGAGCUCGUAGGCGGCUUGUCGCGUCGUCCGUGAAAACUUGGGGCUCAACCCCAAGCUUGCGGUCGAUACGGGCAGGCUAGAGUUCGGUAGGGGAGACUGGAAUUCCUGGUGUAGCGGUGAAAUGCGCAGAUAUCAGGAGGAACACCGGUGGCGAAGGCGGAUCUCUGGACCAGUUCUGACACUGAUGAGCGAAAGCCAGGGGAGCAAACAGG